rnacentral:tRNA from 4 species
GCCACCCUAGCUCAGUUGGUAGAGCAACGCAUUCGUAAUGCGUGGGUCGGGAGUUCGAGUCUCCUGGGUGGCUCCA